GAUGAACGCUGGCGGCGUGCCUAAUACAUGCAAGUCGAGCGAACAGACGAGGAUCUUGCUCCUCUGACGUUAGCGGCGGACGGGUGAGUAACACGUGGAUAACCUACCUAUAAGACUGGGAUAACUUCGGGAAACCGGAGCUAAUACCGGAUAAUAUAUUGAACCGCAUGGUUCAAUAGUGAAAGACGGUUUUGCUGUCACUUAUAGAUGGAUCCGCGCCGCAUUAGCUAGUUGGUAAGGUAACGGCUUACCAAGGCAACGAUGCGUAGCCGACCUGAGAGGGUGAUCGGCCACACUGGAACUGAGACACGGUCCAGACUCCUACGGGAGGCAGCAGUAGGGAAUCGUCGGCAAUGGGCGAAAGCCUGACGGAGCAACGCCGCGUGAGUGAUGAAGGUCUUCGGAUCGUAAAACUCUGUUAUUAGGGAAGAACAAAUGUGUAAGUAACUAUGCACGUCUUGACGGUACCUAAUCAGAAAGCCACGGCUAACUACGUG
rnacentral:rRNA from 1 species